rfam:Laetiporus sulphureus 93-53 unplaced genomic scaffold LAESTscaffold_20, whole genome shotgun sequence.
ACACUGAUGGUGAAACGGUAUCAUGCUUGCCUUCCACUUAGUUGUGCAGCAAGCGGCGCGGGUUCGACUCCCGCUCAGUGUA